GAUGCGCAGCCUACCAUGCAAGUCGAACGAACUCUUCGGAGUUAGUGGCGGACGGGUGAGUAACACGUGGGAACGUGCCUUUAGGUUCGGAAUAACUCAGGGAAACUUGUGCUAAUACCGAAUGUGCCCUUCGGGGGAAAGAUUUAUCGCCUUUAGAGCGGCCCGCGUCUGAUUAGCUAGUUGGUGAGGUAAAGGCUCACCAAGGCGACGAUCAGUAGCUGGUCUGAGAGGAUGAUCAGCCACAUUGGGACUGAGACACGGCCCAAACUCCUACGGGAGGCAGCAGUGGGGAAUCUUGCGCAAUGGGCGAAAGCCUGACGCAGCCAUGCCGCGUGAAUGAUGAAGGUCUUAGGAUUGUAAAAUUCUUUCACCGGGGACGAUAAUGACGGUACCCGGAGAAGAAGCCCCGGCUAACUUCGUGCCAGCAGCCGCGGUAAUACGAAGGGGGCUAGCGUUGCUCGGAAUUACUGGGCGUAAAGGGAGCGUAGGCGGACAUUUAAGUCAGGGGUGAAAUCCCGGGGCUCAACCUCGGAAUUGCCUUUGAUACUGGGUGUCUUGAGUAUGAGAGAGGUGUGUGGAACUCCGAGUGUAGAGGUGAAAUUCGUAGAUAUUCGGAAGAACACCAGUGGCGAAGGCGACACACUGGCUCAUUACUGACGCUGAGGCUCGAAAGCGUGGGGAGCAAACAGGAUUAGAUACCCUGGUAGUCCACGCCGUAAACGAUGAUUGCUAGUUGUCGGGAUGCAUGCAUUUCGGUGACGCAGCUAACGCAUUAAGCAAUCCGCCUGGGGAGUACGGUCGCAAGAUUAAAACUCAAAGGAAUUGACGGGGGCCCGCACAAGCGGUGGAG
rnacentral:rRNA from 1 species